AGUUCUGGUUUAACAAGUAACGAGAAUCAUGGUUUGGGGACUCUUCCCUAUCGAUCCUCUUUCAGGGGAAGAUAAAUACUAUAUUUUCAGAACUGGAGUUUACAGAGUUGGUCGAAAAGGUUGUGAUGUUAUCAUCACAAAAGAUAAAGGGGUUUCUCGGGUUCAUGCAGAAAUAGUUGUUAAUACAAUGAACCUGUUUAAUCCUCUACCAAAUGAACGUUCUCAUUUGUCGCCCAGUGUACAGAUUAGAGAUUGCUCCAAGUAUGGAACAUUUAUUAGCAAGAAUGUUGGGCCCAAGAAAAAGGUUCAUGAGCUACCAAACAAAGAAACUACAUUAGAGGAUGGUGACCUUGUUUCUUUUGGCACUGGUAGUGCUACCUACAAGUUUUGCCAUGUUCCCCUCGUUUUUUUCAUAUUUUCCUCAAAUAAAGUGGAUCAAUAUCUUGAAGGGAAAAUUUCAUCAAUUGGUGCAAAUAUUACCCAUAACUUAGGCGAAGAGUGUACACAUGUGCUGGUAGAUCAAUCCAUGCCAUUGAACAAGGAUCUUGUUGAUGCUGUUGUGGCACAAAAAAAUUGUGUUCUCAAAACUUGGCUUGAGUUUUUUGCAGAAAAGAACAUUGGCACCAACAUUCCUAGCAUUCAUUCAUAUAUACCAUCAGUGUCAGUAGAAGAAGCAUCUAUUAAAGUUGUUGACCCCAAAACUCGGGCAAAAUGCUUGAAAGAAUACACUUUUUUGUUGGAAUCUGAGCAUUCGUAUAAAUUUGGGGAUCAGCUAAAAUCUUUAUUGGAAGUGGCUGGUGCAAAAGUUAUUUCCUUUGAAGAAUUUUGCUCAAAUAGCCAAGGUUCAGAUUAUGGAGAUGAUCACCGUGUAGUUUGUGUCAUCCCAGGAGGAUCAGCAUGCAAGUCUAAUCUGUUCAAUAAAUUAAGUUCCUUGCUUAGAGUGAAUGAGAUGGAUAUAAUAUGUGCUGCUUUCAGUGGACAGCUAGAUUUGUCUAUUUUGAAAUCACCAUGCAUACUGGUGUCAUCAUCAUGCUCUACAGAUGAGACAAUUGUAGCAGAUUCAGAUACUGAAGUUGAAACAGCCACAUCAGCCCACUCACCUGAGCCAAUCUGCCAAGACAAUAAUGUAAAAUAUGAACAAAUCAAAGAAUUAAAUGAUAAAUCUGGCACUUUGGGUGCUAAACAACAUGAAAAAAUUGAGGCAUGCUCAGGUAAUGUUUCAACCAGAUUGCAUGAUUUUAAAUGUGCAAAAACAGAAACAUCCUUGGAUGGUGCUUCUGUCAGAUUGGAUACACAGGCUACCAACAUCAACAGUGACAAUGGUGGGAUCAAAGUAAGGAAAGACAAGGUUGAUGAUUAUGAAAGUGGAAAUUCAGAUAUUGUUUACAGCCAAUACUUAGUUGUUCGAGAUACAAACAUCCAUAUUACAUCUAGCAUAAGUACUGUACCAAACAAAAGUGUUCCAAAUUUUAAACGCUUUAGAAAGGCGCAAACUCAAUCUGGUAAUAGCUUCGACAAUCUUGUUCCGUUUGCAAAGUAUCCAUACAAGGAUUCCGAAUAUGGGAAUGAUGAGAUGGCUGAAUUUGUAAAAGAGGAGAAAAGGCGAAAGAAAAUGGAAGCUGUGGCAGAUGACCUAUUUAAUAGUGAGAAGGCAAGAAGACGAGGUACUGCUGGUUCCCUUCGUGGCAUUCUUACUUCCUGAAGGUGGACAUGGUGGUAUGCUAUAGCAGAGAGCUUUCUCCAAAGAUCUGGACUUUGAAGAUACUGCACAUUUGAUGCGGGUUACAGUUGCAGGGCGCUUGAAGGUUCUAUCUAGUUUCCCUAGUUAGCAUAUGAAGUAAACAAAGCUCAUAUACAAGUGAGAUGAACGUGGAUAGUGAACACCAUAAAAUGCGGAGUGUUUGGCAUGUAAAGGUUUCUGGCACUAUUCUUUACAUGUAAAGCUCACAUUUUUACCAAUUAAACUUGUCUGGUAACCCAAAAAUAUGUAAAUCAUAUUUAUUCUCUUGCUAUGUCGCAGACAGAGCCUGUUACUG